rnacentral:rRNA from 1 species
AUGCUUGUGGCCCUCAGCGCGGCGCAAUGGGUGGUGGGCAAGGCGCUGGCCCCCAUUGCCGAUGGCUUGCUGGAGGCUUGGGGUGCUACCGAGAACUUGGGUCCCAACAUCGAGGCCCUUAGGAUGGAACUGCUGCUCGUGAAGGCCACGCUUGAACUCACCGGCGGCAAGCAGAUCCAAGGCCAGGCUAUGGAGGAGUUGUUGGGGAAGCUGCAGCACUCGGCGCACUGUGCCGAGGACUUGUUGGACGAGCUGGACUACUUCCGCAUCCACGACGAUCUCCAUGGCAUGUAUGACGCUGCAGAUCAUGCCAAGGGUUGCGUCCAUGAUUUUUGCCUCAAUGCUCGCCACACUGCCAAAACUGUUGGCAAACUGGUUGGUUUAUCCACGAGCCCUGCAUGUGAUCCUGGAGAAGUACAAGCGGCAAGACAACGGGUCAGCUGUUGCGUUUGGCCUCAUGGUAGGCAGAGGUCAUGCAGCAAUUCCUCCUUGGCGCCAAAUGCCAAUCAGGAGGUCAGUGGAUGCAUGCCCAAGCUCGGUAAACUCCUCCUUUGCUCAUCUUCCCCACAUAAGGAAACACCAGUACUGGGGUUUAAUAGGGUUGAUGUCUCUGAAAGAAUGAAGUGCAUUGUUGAGCAACUGCAGCCUGUGCGUACAGAGGUUACCAAGAUUCUGCAGAGUUGUGACCGUAUGACUGUCCCUGAUAUUUCAGUGAGCCGUCCCAUUACCACUGGCCAAAGUACGGAGCAGAAAUUGUAUGGGAGGGACCAUAUCAUGCAUACCAUCAUACAUUAUAUGACCAAGGGUAAAUACUGCAGCAAGGAUCUAACCGUGCUUCCGAUUGUCGGUCCAGGGGGGAUAGGGAAGACAACACUGGUACAAUACAUAUAUAGAAACCAACAAGUUCAAAAUCAUUUUCAAGUCCUUAUUUGGGUAUGUGUGUCACUCAGUCUCAAUUUGAGUAAGCUGCUAGAUGAGAUUAACACAUAUAUCCCUCGGGAUGAAGGGGAAAAAGUUGGCAAAGUCGAAGAGCUGAUUGAACAGAGAUUAAAAUCCAAAAGGUUUUUGCUUGUACUGGAUGAUGUAUGGGAGUUCAAUAAUGGGGAUGACUGGAAAAGGUUAUUGCUGCCAUUCAAAGCAUCGCAAGAAAAAGGUAGCAUGAUUCUACUCACGACGCGGUUUCCAGCAAUAGCAAAUAUGGGUAAAACAGCUGAUUAUAUAGAACUGGAAGGAUUAAAAUCCAAAGAAUUUAGGAAGUUGUUUCUUUCGUUUGUGUUUGUUGAUGAGCCCUUUACAAGUGAUCAUAGUUUUUUGCUUGAGACCGGAGAUAAGAUAAUGGAAAAACUAAAGGGCUCUCCUCUUGCUGAAAAAACUGUUGGUGCAUUAUUGAGAAAAAACCUUAAUUUGCGUCACUGGAGAAGAGUCUUAGAAAGUAAAGAAUGGGAGAGACAAACCGGUGUCAAUGACAUUAUGUCUGCCUUGAAGCUUAGCUAUUACUAUCUUCCUUUCCAUCAGCGACAAUGUUUCUCCUAUUCUGCAUUGUUUCCUGAAGAUUACAAGUAUAGUAGUACUGAGCUAAUCAACUUGUGGAUAGGACUAGAUAUUUUACAACCUUGUGGUCAAAAUCAAACAUUGGAAGAUAUAGGUCUGAGCAAUUUAAAUGAUCUGGUCACAUAUGGAUUUUUCAAAGAAGAGAAAACUAAUGGUCGUCUGCGUUAUGUAAUGCAUGACCUGCUACAUGAUUUAGCAUUGCACAUGGGAUCUCAUGAAUACAUUAGUUUACAUCGGUCUAAUGUGGGAUCAGUGCAGAUUAAGCCAUCCAUACGUCACUUGUCUAUAAUCAUAGAUGAUGAUGAUACACUAUCUCAAGAGAACUUUAAGGGACAAUUGAGAAAACUGAAGACGAUAUUGAAGGUUAAGCAAUUGCAUAGUUUGAUGUUAUUUGGAGAAAUGGAUGAGAGCUUUGCCAGCAUUUUGAGUGAUUUGUUUAUGGAAGCAAAUGGUCUUCGUGUUCUCCGUCUGGUUAACAUGCCAACUUCUGUGGAGUUCAUGUUACACAACUUUUCAGCACUUGUCCACCUACGAUACUUAUGUCUGGGUACAAAAAAGUAUGGGAAGGAGAUGCAAUUACCACUUGCCAUUUCCAGAUUUUAUCAUUUAAGGGUUCUGGAUCUGGGAUCAUGGUAUGGCUGUCAUGAUUUGCCCAGAGACUUGAGCAAGCUUGCAAAGUUGUGUCGUUUUUAUACCCCGAGUGAUGAGCUUCAUUCUAAUAUUUAUAAUGUGGGGAAACUCAGACUCUUAGAAGAGUUGAAAGUAUUUAGAGUCAAUAAAGAAAGGGAAGGAUUUGAAACAAAGCAACUAGAGCAUUUAACCGAACUGAGGGAGCUUGGCAUCUAUAACCUUGAGAAUAUACACACGAAAGAAGAAGCAACCAAAGCAAAGCUGAUAGAGAAAAACUACUUGGAGAGGUUAACAUUAGAUUGGGACAGUAAGCGGUCUAAUAGCAAGCCUUGUGUGGAAGCAGUUGUCAUUGAAAGCCUUCAACCACAUAGAUAUGUUCAAGAGUUGUGCAUUAGAGGGCACGGAGGCUCUUCUUGUCCAACAUGGCUAGGUGAUAAGCUGGUUGAAGCUCUUCAAUCUCUUCAGCUCGUUGGUGUUUCCUGGCACUGUCUGCCUUCUUUAGGGAAGAUGUGGGGCCUUGAUAAAGUAAUAUUGAAGCAUAUUGCCACGGUGAAAGAGUUCGUUAUAGAGCAGAGCUUUAUCAGGCUAAUAAGGAUUGAACUUGUUGGCUUGGGAAGUUUUGAAAAAUGGAUACCAUCACAGGCCACUCAUCAUAUGUUUCCUCUUUUGUAA